UGAGUACGAGAUGCUACGGCGUCGAAGCAGUCUAGGUCAUACUUCCAAGAAAAGCUUGCACUGUCAUAAACAAAGAAUGCCUGUACCAUAACCGACACAGGUGGGUAGGUAGAGUAUACUAAGGGGCGCGAGAUAACUCUCUCUAAGGAACUCGGCAAAAUGACUCCGUGACUUCGGGAGAAGGAGUGCCUUAUUUUUAAGGUUGCAAUAACAAGAUCCAAGCAACUGUUUACCAAAACACAGGUCUCCGCUAAGUCGUAAGACGAUGUAUGGGGGCUGACGCCUGCCCAGUGCCAGAAGGUUAAAGAAGUUGGUUAGCAUUCGCGAAGCUGAUAACUGAAGCCCUGGUGAACGGCGGCCGUAACAAUAACGGUCCUAAGGUAGCGAAAUUCCUUGUCGGGUAAGUUCCGACCCGCACGAAAGGCGUAAUGAUUUGGAUACUGUCUCGGAGAGGGGCUCGGUGAAAUAGACUUGUCUGUGAAGAUGCGGACUACCUGCACCUGGACAGAAAGACCCUAUGAAGCUUUACUGUAACUUGAGAUUGAAAUUGGACUUUAUUUGCGCAGUAUAGGUGGGAGGCGUUGAGAAUAAUCUUGCGGGAUUAUCGGAGCCAUCAGUGAGAUACCACUCUUGUAAUGUUAGAUUUCUAACUUUGUAUCAUUAUCUGGUCAAAGAACAGUUUCAGGCGGGCAGUUUGACUGGGGCGGUCGCCUCCCAAAGGGUAACGGAGGCGCACAAAGGUUUCCUCUGAACGGGUAGAAAUCGUAUCUAGAGUGUAAAGGCAUAAGGAAGCUUGACUGUGAGACCUACAAGUCGAGCAGGGACGAAAGUCGGUCUUAGUGAUCUGACGGUGCUGAGUGGAAAGGCCGUCACUCAACGGAUAAAAGUUACUCUAGGAUAACAGGCUGAUCUCCCCCAAGAGUUCACAUCGACGGGGAGGUUUGGCACCUCGAUGUCGGCUCAUCGCAUCCUGGGGCGGUAGUACGUCCCAAGGGUUGGGCUGUUCGCCCAUGAAAGCGGUACGCGAGCUGGGUUCAGAACGUCGUGAGACAGUUCGGUCCAUAUCCGGUGUAGGCGUUAGAAUAUUGAAAGGAGCCUUCUCUAGUACGAGAGGACCGAGAAGGACAUACCUCUGGUGUGCCAGUUAUCGUGCCAACGGUAAACGCUGGGUAGCUAUGUAUGGAGUGGAUAACCGCUGAAAGCAUCUAAGUGGGAAGCCCACCUUAAGAUAAGUAUUCUC
rnacentral:rRNA from 1 species